GGGGGUGAAAUUGGCUUCGACGGGAUUAUACGAUCUUUGAAUUGCGCACCGUGUUCUCCGAAGACACGUUAAACGUCGGUACAAAAAUAGUCAACGACUAUAACUAUGCAAUAGCCGCCUAAUUUAUUAGGCAGCCGUUCUCUAAAAUCUCUCAUACCGGAUUUUAGAAGAACGUCGCUUAGGUAUGAUAGCCGAUUCGAGAGCUUGAGUAGAGGAGGCGAACUUAUUAUCAAGCUGGCUUGAGCAAAUCUUGUCUGCCGGAGCUGUUUGAGUAAGAAUUAAAUGACAGACUAUGUGUGUAGACAUUCAUUGAUGGGUAAUUUCGGACGCGGGUUCGACUCCCGCCACCUCCACUC
rnacentral:tmRNA from 1 species